GACGAACGCUGGCGGCGUGCCUAAUACAUGCAAGUAGAACGCACAGUUUAUACCGUAGCUUGCUACACCAUAAACUGUGAGUUGCGAACGGGUGAGUAACGCGUAGGUAACCUGCCUGGUAUCGGGGGAUAACUAUUGGAAACGAUAGCUAAUACCGCAUAAUAUUGAUUAUUGCAUGAUAAUUGAUUGAACGAUUCUAUUUCAUCCCUACCAGCUGGUCCUGCGUUGUAUUAGCUAGUAGGUGAGGUAACGGCUCACCUAGGCGACGAUACAUAGACGACCUGAGAGGGUGGUCGGCCACCCUGGGACUGAGACACGGCCCAGACUCCUACGGGAGGCAGCAGUAGGGAAUCUUCGGCAAUGGACGAAAGUCUGACCGAGCAACGCCGGGUGAGUGAAGAAGGUUUUCGGAUCGUAAAGCUCUGUUGUAAGGGAAGAACGGGUGUGAGAGUGGAAAGUUCACACUGUGACGGUAUCUUACCAGAAAGGGACGGCUAACUACGUG
rnacentral:rRNA from 1 species